AACUUACGCUAAUACCGCAUACGACCUACGGGUGAAAGCAGGGGAUCUUCGGACCUUGCGCGAUUGAAUGAGCCGAUGUCGGAUUAGCUAGUUGGCGGGGUAAAGGCCCACCAAGGCGACGAUCCGUAGCUGGUCUGAGAGGAUGAUCAGCCACACUGGAACUGAGACACGGUCCAGACUCCUACGGGAGGCAGCAGUGGGGAAUAUUGGACAAUGGGCGCAAGCCUGAUCCAGCCAUACCGCGUGGGUGAAGAAGGCCUUCGGGUUGUAAAGCCCUUUUGUUGGGAAAGAAAUCCAGCCGGCUAAUACCCGGUUGGGAUGACGGUACCCAAAGAAUAAGCACCGGCUAACUUCGUGCCAGCAGCCGCGGUAAUACGAAGGGUGCAAGCGUUACUCGGAAUUACUGGGCGUAAAGCGUGCGUAGGUGGUCGUUUAAGUCCGUUGUGAAAGCCCUGGGCUCAACCUGGGAACUGCAGUGGAUACUGGGCGACUAGAGUGUGGUAGAGGGUAGCGGAAUUCCUGGUGUAGCAGUGAAAUGCGUAGAGAUCAGGAGGAACAUCCAUGGCGAAGGCAGCUACCUGGACCAACA
rnacentral:rRNA from 1 species